CCUUCCUUCCUUCCUUCCUUCCUUCCUUCCUCUGAUCCACCUGUUCCCCAAAGAUCCUUGGUGGCAUUAGCCCUAAAGCCGUCAAGACCACAGAGGGUUAUGGGGUUUUUCUGAAGCUAGCAAUUGUUCCCCUUGUACAUUCGCCGCAGGCGAUCCACAACCAAGAGGGCUUCUUUACAGCCACAGACAGAUGUAGGCAAACGGCCCCCCUUUCUGCCCCCUUCUUUGCCCACAACAACAGGGUUGAGUUGCCAAAAAUCAGCUCUGCUAAACCCAAAUGUAUUUAGUUGUGGUGGGGAAGGCGGCGAGGGGACUGGGUGGGGUGGUUUUGUUGGGUUUACGGAUGCCUUUAGAAGAAGAAACGCUCUGGUUUGGGAGGAGGGCCCCUUACGUUUUAAUUCUGGCUGUUUCACCAGCAUGAUGGCCUCCCGAUGAUGAAGAAUGUGUCGAUGGAAGAGUAGCCUCCACAUAUUUCCUUUGCCAGCUUCCUAUUUAGGCCUCCUUCAUUUCUCCAGGCUUUCUGCAGCCCUCCCUCCGUGGCUCGGUGUCACCCCUCUCCUUCCCUGCCUUAUCGGUCAGUGAUGUUUCUCAUCCCCUGGCAGUUUCUCUCUGGGCUUUCACACCUCCUGUCGUUUGCAGAGAAGCGUGGGUUGCUUUGUAAUGGGUUGACUGGAAACAAGCAGGGGCUUCCUUUGCCAUCCCCAUGGUUCCGUCGCCCGAGGUCUACCUGAAUCCCACUGCCGAAACGUGAAGGGCUUUCUUUCAGCUUCUAAGGCCGGCGUUUGCCUGGGAAAGGGGAGAGGGGAGUCUCGGAAUCCAGCCAGCUAUAAAAUAUGCGCAAGAGGACAUGCCCAAUGCUGGCUGAAGAGAGCUGGAUGUGGUUCUUUAAAAGGAGCCCUCCUUUGAACAACCCGCGAACUGGCUUGUCUGGAUUAGACCUCAGGGGAGACCUCUCUGCUCACAGGAGCGGCUGACAGCUUCUGAACGGGACGGGAUCUCUCCCACCCCCAGGAAAGAAAAACGUGGGGACUGCCAGCAAGCAAGCAAAAGCACCGGGACCAGCCAGCGGAGACAGGCAAAGCCAGGGAGCUGAAAAGAGCAUUGAGCUGGGGGUCGGCCCCCAGGAACAAGGGACCCCACAGCCACCAUGGACUGGCCCACCACUAACUGAGGCUGUGAGGAGCAGAGUUGCCAUAUUUUAAAACAAAAGGUGUCAACUGAAAAGCUAUGGCUGUGGUAAACCGAGGCUGGACUGGCAGGUUUUCCUUGGCUGGCUUCUGUGUGACUCUUUCCGUCAUGGCAGCCUGCCUCGGCCAGGCCACCGAGAAGGUCCCACGCAGGAGGCCGCCACGGCAGGCCACGGAAGAAGAGGGCGCCGGGAGCCGAGUGGCCGGGCUCUGGAGCCCCUGGUCGGCUUGGUCGGCUUGUUCUCA